rnacentral:rRNA from 1 species
AUUGAACGCUGGCGGCAUGCCUUACACAUGCAAGUCGAACGGUAACAGGUCUUCGGAUGCUGACGAGUGGCGAACGGGUGAGUAAUACAUCGGAACGUGCCUAGUAGUGGGGGAUAGCUACUCGAAAGAGUGGCUAAUACCACAUGAGAUCUACCGAUGAAAGCAGGGGAUCGCAAGGCCUUGUGCUACUAGAGCGGCCGAUGGCAGAUUAGGUAGUUGGUGGGAUCAAAGCUUACCAAGCUGACGAUCUGUAGCUGGUCUGAGAGGGACGAUCAGCCACACUGGGACUGAGACACGGCCCAGACUCCUACAGGAGGCAGCAGUGGGGAAUUUUGGACAAUGGGCGCAAGCCUGAUCCAGCAAUGCCGCGUGAAGGAUGAAGGCCUUCGGGUUGGAAACUGCUUUUGUACGGAACGAAAAGCCCUGGGUUAAUACCCUGGGGUCAUGACGGUACCGUAAGAAUAAGCACCGGCUAACUACGUGCCAGCCGCCGCCGUAA